GCCACAUAUGAUUCUUCUUCUUCUUCCUGGGAUGCUUGGUAAUUCAUUGCUGAAAAUGGAAUCCCCAAAAGACCGCCGCAACUGCAAUCCUAGUGAGGAAAGUGAUAUUACUGUUUCUUUUCAAUUAGACGUUUAGUUUCCUCUAAUGGAAAUAACAAUCCCAGUGAAAACAACCCCCAAGAACAGCAAUCUCCGCUCAACACUGACAAUGGAAACAACAAGAGUAGCAAAGCGUUGGUCAAGGGUUCAUUUCUGAUGCUUGCUAGACUUCGAUUCUAAAGCUCAGGUUGCUCUCAAAAGUCAAGACCACCUCAAUUGCAUCAUAGAUCGUCAUACCCGAGAGCUCGAUCAAUUGUUAGAAGAUGCGCCCUUGCCGUUCGUUAUGCAACAUACUGCAAAGGUUUCAGGAGUUAGAACGAGAGUUUCGUCAUUGAACUCUCUCUUAAAAUCUAUACAACGCCGUAUCGAUAAUAUUGAUCCGAUUCUAUCUGUGGGCUCCACACAAGACAAACAAUCAGACGGUGCAUGUGUUCACUAACUUCUACAUCUUGCAUCUUCCAGCUGCAAAAUAGCUACUUUGCCAUGGCGAUGACAAGAGGGGAGUGGCCUUAAAUAAAGGCAAGUUCAGGGCAGAUGCUCAACGAAAGUUUACUGAUUAUUCACCUUCUAUUUGUUGUGUUUUGUUUUCUAUAAUUUGAAAGAUACUCUACUUCUAAAGGAUAGUGAUUACUAUCAAGCUAGACAUCCCAUUGAAAAUAUUGCUAAACCUACAUUCUCUUUAACUCUUUCACAAACUGUUACUGGGAGCUUCUUAUAUUGCUUCAUUUGCUUCUUCAUUGAUUAUGGUUGAUAUUAUCUCGUUAACAGCUCUGUUCAAACUUCAGUGGUUUUGCAAGUUUGAAGUAAAUUUUGAUUAUCUCUCUUAUGUGCAGUAAAGGACGCGUGAUUUCAUCAUGAGCAGCAUCAACCUCUUGAAAAAAAUCAUUCCCAAUUUAAAUUUCUAAUAUUGCAUCUUGCAUUUGCAGAGAUGGGGCGUGCUGAGCUAAUGGAAGCGCAUACCUGCUACAAACAAAACAUCAAGCAAUGGAGUCAACUUUUUGUCUUUUUUUUUUUCCUUUUUUAAUUGAUAAAGAAUAUAAUAUGGGAGGUAGGGAGUGGGAACAUUUUGUGAAGACUGAAUUGAUGUCUGCCAUAGGGAAGCAGUGUGGUCAUUUGAUUCUCUGAUGUAGCAGCAAUUUAUUAAAUGAGAAAUCCCUGCAAUUUGGUGAAA